GCCGGUACAAGACAUUGGUGCCGCCUCGCGUGCUAGCAGAGGAGAGCACCGACCGCCCACUGCGUGCCUUAUCUCAUCGCCAUUCCUCUCCUUCUCUUAUCCAAAUAGCCAUUCCUCCUCAUCCUAACCCAGCUCCGGCGCUCUUCCUCUUCUCCGUCCAACCCAGCCAAAAUAGCGACACGUGCGCGGGGCCGCGGUGGCUGGCCAGGAAGCACUCCCUAAUCGGCGAGGAACCCAGAGGACGCCGUGGCUGGCGCCUUGGAGCUGCUCUGCCGUCGGCCUGAUCUGGCCGUCCGCCCCAGUCGCCGGCCCCGUGCUCCGGAUCAGGCCAGCAGCCUCGCCUCCGACCCGAUUCGAACAGCACAACCUUCGCCACCUCCGCCAUGCCCCAGAGGUUCGGCUGAUCCCGCGUCGCUCAUUCUCCCUUCUUUCUCUGCUCGCGGCUCGCGUUGACUUCGAGAGGCCAUAGGCCUCGUCCAGCCGCAUCCUAUCACUGCCUUGCUCCUCCACCACCACUCCUCCCCUUCUUCCUCCCCUUCCUGCCAGCCAGGGCACUCUCCCUCUCCCACCUCCCUUCGCCGCAGGACUCCAUGAGGAGUGCGCGGAUGCGGGUGUCUUGGCCAGUAGCAACAGUUGCGGCAGUUCCGCGCCGGGAGAAGCCUCGCACUGGGCGAUGUGGAGGACGACGACCUGCUGCUUCCUCAGUCGUGCGUCCUCCUCCGCGUCGUGGAGAGACGGCCAUGGCCGGCCGAUGCCCGAGCGUCGCCGGCCAAGGACCCGCCGGCGUCCAGACCCCCACCACGCCAUUCCCAUCUCGCCUAGACCUGCACAAGUCCCAUCUAGUGCCCGCGCCAUUCUUCGGCCCCCGGCCCGCAGCUCUGCAGCCCGAUCUCUUCAGCCGCCUCACGUCCAAAGCAGAGGAGAGGAGCUCCCUGCGACGAGCCUCUCCAGCGCCCAGCAAACCACCAGGCCGUCCCAGCCUCCUUCUCGCUUCGGCAUGAACGCACGGCCGUCGCGACGGCUCGCCGCAUUCCUGGCCUCGGGCGGCGCGGACGCCCGCUGCGACGCAUCACCCCUUCCUUGGCUCCUGCGGCGUGGACGCCAAUGGCAAGCGGCAGCGCUUGCCCGGCGGUGGAGAACGCAAAUGGAUAAGCGGUGCAGGGGUGUUUUUUGCAAAAGCGAAGCGUUUUCUCGGAUACCCACUUAAAAUAGGACUGCGGGUUGAAUACUCAGAAACGGAGGUUUUUUUUGCAAAAGUGACGACGACGUACGACCAGAAGCACUCCGUGCUUUAUUAGUAGGGAAAGAUAUAUCCAUCCGUUCCCGACGAUUCUCUGUACCAAACGCACCCGCCUCCCGCAGUGAGACUGACACCCUUCUUCAUUGUCUCUGUCUCUGUGCCACAAAUACUUCACCAAAUUUGGUAGAAAACUGAGCUUCUGGCAAGCAUAGGUUGGCGGGCACCUGCUGAAGCUUGCACAAGUACCGUUUUGCCACGGACGUCCGAGGAAGCACCAAAAGCAGGAGAUGGUCUUCCACGCCGUUGUCCCAAAGAUAGCCAUUAAUUGGGUCAUCAAAUUGUUUCUUUUGUAUGUGUAGAUUGUAUCAAGGAUUGGUUGUCUUGA